UACGGAGGGGACUAGCGUUGUUCGGAAUUACUGGGCGUAAAGCGCACGUAGGCGGAUUUGUAAGUCAGGGGUGAAAUCUCGGGGCUUAACUCCGAAACUGCAUUCGAUACUGCCGUGCUUGAGGACUGGAGAGGAGACUGGAAUUUACGGUGUAGCGGUGAAAUGCGUAGAUAUCGUAAGGAAGACCAGUGGCGAAGGCGGGUCUCUGGACAGUUCCUGACGCUGAGGCACGAAGGUCAGGGGAGCAAACGGG
rnacentral:rRNA from 1 species